UUCUAAUAUGGCAGAUUAGUGCAAUGAAUUUAAGAUUCAUAUAUAAAUUAUAAUAUUUUAUUAGAA
rnacentral:tRNA from 1 species